rnacentral:tmRNA from 1 species
GGGGGUGAAUUUUGGUUUCGACGGGGUUAAAGAGGCAUUGAACUGCAUACCGUGUUCUCCGUGUACACGUUAACAAAGCGGUACAAAACAAUAACUGGCGAAUAUAACUACGCCUUAGCUGCUUAAUUAAACAUUAACAGCCGUUCUGUAUAAUUUCUCAUACCGGGUUAUAUAAGAACGACGUUUAGGUAUGAUAGCAGAUUCCAUCGCUCUUAUGGAUGAAGCAAAAUCUUUAAUGAGCAGGCUUAAAGUGAUCCUUGUCUGUCAGGUAGCUUUAAGUUAAAACAAUAACAGACUAAGUAUGUAGGCGUUCUUUGGAUCUUAACUUCGGACCGGGGUUCGACUCCCCGCACCUCCACCC